UCGUCCGACGCCGCCUUCUGCCAUGGCAGGCACCCGGUCAAGCAGACAAAUAGGACAAUGCCGAAUUGCCAGACGUCGUGCGACGUGCGAGCUCUGAAAGUCGCCGUUAGAAUGUAUACCUCUGGUGGCCGUGGCAGAUCUGUACGGUGUUAAAAAAAAAAAGACUACGAAGGCGGCACGAAGAUGCGGGGGAAAGACGGAGUAAAAUCGGAUGCUCAUUUGAUCUCGUGAGAAACAGAAGUACGGGUGAAACGACGAGCUGUUAUCGCUUUCAGAUAAGGGGAUGCUAGAACGACGAACUGAUAAGCGUCGAUAAUGUAGAAGCGAACCUCGAAAUGUUAUGUUACAUAAACACUGACACGAUUACGCUAUUCUGUUUGUAUUCCUUAUGCAUAUAGAUCUUACGUAAAUGUUAGUGCGAUAUAAAUGUGAAUAAAAUUAAUGUACGUUAUUCCGUUUUACCAUAUCUAACAGAAAAUUCGGCCAAGUUGUAUAAAAUUUUUUCUGCAAACUCUUUGUAUCUCUUUAAGCCUUUAUGCGCAAUUGUAAAGGUACAAAAAUGUUGUUUGAGUUUAUUUCUCGUCGGAGCAAAUAUACACACGAUAUGUACAAGUUGCGAAAUUUUUAUUUUAAGUAAAUAUUUACCUGACGGGCCGAAAUUUCAGUUUUGAAAUGUUUAAUCGUUUCCCAGUAAACACUAAGUAUCAAUAACAUAACAUCGAUGUUUAAUGUCCGGCACAAUAAUGUAACCGUUAUAUUACACGUGUGUGUACGCGUGUUGUAACAACUACAUUAUUAUAUCAAAUAUUAAACAUCGAUGUUACUGAUACUCGAUGUUUACUGGGUUUCCUUACAUAUCGGACAAUGGCUCUGAUACAUUUUCGCACGUACUUUCAUUACGUAGAAACAUUUCGAAUUCCGUGCAAUCAGUAAGACAUAAACUCUGAAGAAAAACUCAAUAUUUUGUCGGUGAAGUUUCCAAAAAAUAUGGCAUCUCCUUAAAAUAAACACUUAAAAAAAAAGAAACAAUCGAACAGAUCCGCUUGAUCCGCUUGAUUUUACUCUGCUUCCCCGUAUUCCUCGAUUCUUUUCCCCCAACAUUCUAAUCGCGACGAAGCGAUACUUAAUGGUCAAUCACAGCGUAU